AUGGAAAGUAAUCCUUUUAGGGGCUUGUUCGGGGUAUCUUCACCCCGACCAGUGGAGCAAAGAGUUGCUCCUCAACCUACUGAACCUACUGAAAAUGAAAAUGCCUACUUUGAAAUUCCUUCGGGUAUGAUAGAAAAACUGCUAGCUAAUCCUUUUGCAGGAGAUGGAACAUUACAUCCUGAUGAACACCUAAUAUAUGUGGAUGAAGUUUGUGGAUUAUUUAAGCUUGCAUGUAUGCCCGAUGAUGUGAUCAAGAAGAAGGUCUUUCCUUUAUCUUUGAAGGGAGAUGCAUUGACGUGGUAUAGGCUAUGUGAUGAUAUGGGAUCAUGGAACUACAAACGAUUGAAAUUGGAAUUUCAUCAGAAGUUUUAUCCUAUGCAUCUUCUUCAUCAUGAUCGUAAUUAUAUAUAUAAUUUUUGGCCUCGCAAAGGAGAAAGCAUCGCUCAAGCUUGGGGGCGGCUUAAGUCAAUGUUAUAUUCAUGCCCCAAUCAUGAGCUCUCAAGAAAAAUGAUUAUUCAAAAAUUUUAUGCUCGGAUUUCUGACAACAAUCGCACCAUGCUCGAUACUUCUUGUUCUGGUUCUUUUAUGAUGAAGACUAUUGAAUUCAAAUGGGAUUUAUUGGAAAGAAUUAAAUGCAACUUUGAAGAUUGGGACCUCGACGAAGGU
rnacentral:rRNA from 1 species